rnacentral:rRNA from 1 species
UACAGGGGGUGCAAACGGUGCUCGGAAUUAUUGGGCGUAAAGCGCGCGUAGGCGGCCACUUAAGUCGGAUGUGAAAGCCCCUGGCUCAACUGGGGAAGUGCACCCGAAACUGAAUGGCUUGAGUGCGAAAGAGGGUCGCGGAAUUCCCGGUGUAGAGGUGAAAUUCGUAGAUAUCGGGAGGAACACCUGAGGCGAAGGCGGGCUACUGGGCCGAUACUGACGCUGAUGCGCGAAAGCCAGGGGAGCGAACGGG